CAGCGCCGCUGGCCCCGGUAUUGUUGCUGCAGCUGGUGUUGUGAAUCAGGCCGACGACAAGCGCUUCCUACAAUCCGGCUAUUUCACUACACCAGGGUUGCAUCAUACCACUCGCUUCGCUCUUCGCC
rnacentral:pre_miRNA from 12 species